UACGGGGGGAGCAAGCGUUGUUCGGAUUUACUGGGCGUAAAGGGCGCGUAGGCGGUCGUGACAAGUCACUUGUGAAAUCUCCGGGCUUAACUCGGAACGGUCAAGUGAUACUGUCGGACUAGAGUACAGAAGGGGCAACUGGAAUUCUCGGUGUAGCGGUGAAAUGCGUAGAUAUCGAGAGGAACACCUGCGGCGAAGGCGGGUUGCUGGGCUGAUACUGACGCUGAGGCGCGAAAGCCAGGGGAGCGAACGGG
rnacentral:rRNA from 1 species